GCUGGGCAUGGUGGCGCAUGCCUGUAAUCCCAGCUACUCGGGAGGCUGAGGCAGAAGAAUCACUUGAACCUAGGAGGCAGAGCUUGCAGUGAGCUGAGAUCACGCCACUGCACUCCAGCCUGGGUGACAGAGCGAGAUUCUGUCUCAA
rnacentral:SRP_RNA from 1 species